rnacentral:lncRNA from 1 species
UGGGCAGCCUCUAGAACUUGGAAAAGGUCUCAGCUGCAUUGCCACUGCCUUAGGGGAGGCCUUCCCUGACUGAUUUGAGGAGGUGCGAUGUCCAAAGGAUGCAGUUUUAAGGUCAACAUUUUGAGUCCAGCAAACACAAGCAUUUAUUUCCAGCCUGCUAACACUGCUGUGAAAGAUAAGAAGCAAACAAGUCUCACUUCAAUGGCGGGGAGAAAAAUAAAGAACCAUCAACCUUCUUAUUUGUAAACAAGAACACCAAAAUCAAGACUACAAGAGACAAUGUAACAGAUGUAAUGUUGCAACCCAACCACGCCCCCCAACCUCAUGCUUAUCUUGCCAGAAAUGUAUUUCUAUAGAAGGAGAGGAAUCAAAUAAUGCCCCUUUCACAGUUGAAGGAGCCUUUGUUUGCAAAGCUUAACUCACUCUGUGCCAGUCCUGUCUUUGGGAAAUGUCUGAGCAACAGUGUCCAAAGUUGGUGUCACUCCCAAUAUCCCAGGUUGCUGAGAUGUCAUAAAUGAAAGACUGAAGCAGAGCAAAAGUAGCCACAGCUCUUCUUUUGUCAAGAAACUCUUUUUUAGAAACUCUUCCUAUAACUAGUACUCUGAGGGUUUCUUUUCUCUCACUGCUUUCGCUGAUGGAUGCAAGCUGCAUGUGUAAUGAGGUCCUUCCUGCCUGGUGGAGCUGGGAGGCAGUUAUAGAGUAGUCAG